GACGAACGCUGGCGGCGUGCUUAACACAUGCAAGUCGAACGGUAAGGCCCCAGCUUGCUGGGGUACACGAGUGGCGAACGGGUGAGUAACACGUGGGUGACCUGCCCCGCACUUCGGGAUAAGCCUGGGAAACUGGGUCUAAUACCGGAUAGGACCGCACCGUGAGGGUGUGGUGGAAAGUUUUUCGGUGUGGGAUGGGCCCGCGGCCUAUCAGCUUGUUGGUGGGGUAAUGGCCUACCAAGGCGGCGACGGGUAGCCGGCCUGAGAGGGUGGACGGCCACAUUGGGACUGAGACACGGCCCAGACUCCUACGGGAGGCAGCAGUGGGGAAUAUUGCACAAUGGGCGGAAGCCUGAUGCAGCGACGCCGCGUGGGGGAUGACGGCCUUCGGGUUGUAAACUCCUUUCACCAUCGACGAAGGUUUUCUGACGGUAGAUGGAGAAUAAGCACCGGCUAACUACGUG
rnacentral:rRNA from 1 species